rnacentral:rRNA from 1 species
AUUGAACGCUGGCGGCAGGCCUAACACAUGCAAGUCGAACGGAUGAAGGGAGCUUGCUCCUGGAUUCAGCGGCGGACGGGUGAGUAAUGCCUAGGAAUCUGCCUGGUAGUGGGGGAUAACGUCCGGAAACGGGCGCUAAUACCGCAUACGUCCUGCGGGAGAAAGUGGGGGAGCUUCGGACCUCACGCGCUCAGAUGAGCCUAGGUCGGAUUAGCUAGUUGGUGGGGUAAGGGCCUACCAAGGCGACGAUCGGUAACUGGUCUGAGUGGAUGAUCAGUCACACUGGAACUGAGACACGGUCCAUACUCCUACGGGAGGCAGCAGUGGGGAAUAUUGGACAAUGGGCGAAAGCCUGAUCCAGCCAUGCCGCGUGUGUGAAGAAGGUCUUCGGAUUGUAAAGCACUUUAAGUUGGGAGGAAGGGCAGUAAGUUAAUACCUUGCUGUUUUGACGUUACCAACAGAAUAAGCACCGGCUAACUUCGUG